UACGUAGGGGGCAAGCGUUGUCCGGAAUCAUUGGGCGUAAAGAGCGCGUAGGCGGCCCGAUAAGUCCGCUGUGAAAGUCAAGGGCUUAACCCUUGAAUGCCGGUGGAAACUGUCGGGCUAGAGUCCGGAAGAGGCGAGUGGAAUUCCUGGUGUAGCGGUGAAAUGCGCAGAUAUCAGGAGGAACACCGGUGGCGAAGGCGGAUCUCUGGGCCUUACCUGACGCUCAGGUGCGAAAGCUAGGGGAGCGAACAGG
rnacentral:rRNA from 1 species